GAUCCUUGUAAUUUACAAUUUUAUUAACAUUUCCACGAUUAUAUAAUUAAGAUGAACUGCAUCUUGCUCAUUUUUUUCCUUUGUAACAGGAAUCCAAAAUCUAGUGAUUGAAGCAGGUUUUACUUUUCUUGUGCAUGAGCGGUGGGUUGUCCAGAGGGUUGUGGUAGCUCCCCUAUGCUCCUGGCAUCCACAUUCCUUUCUUUCCAUUCAGUCCCAUAGCAUGUGCUUCUGACUGCCUUGUCACUACUGGCUGGGUAGCUUCAAGCAUGAUGGUCUCAUUCCAGACAAGAUGAAGUAGAGAGAACAAGACGUGGGCAGAGUGGAGAGAGGCACACUGGUCUUUAUCCAUUGUCAAAACCAAGGAGACAAACACACUGAGUAUGCAUCAUGCGUUUGAAAAGCGCAUAUGCAUGGACUUGGACAGCUACUACCAAGCUCUCCAACUGCUCUAGCCAAGGCUCAGUGAUUAGCAGCUGAAAAGCAAGAAUGAAAUCCAGUGAGUAGCAGCAUACAAAGAAUCAGCUUCAAAGACUAAACACCUAACCAAGAUAUGUCUGGUAUGUCCAGGCCAGAGCUGUUGGGAAGGUACAGGACCUAGAUAGGCUCAUCUACAUGUGAUGCCUCUGGAAAACUUCAAUUCCUACCCUAGUGCUCAAAAUAGGUACCAGACCAAAGAAAUCUACUUCACAGAGAUGGAGACAUCCCUGGGUCCAUCAGCAUGAUCGGACAGGUCUUAUCUAGCUAUUGCUGCCACCUAGUGGCCGUCUUCCUUUAAUGGAGGCCGAAAUCUAAAUGCUAAGCAUGGUAGGUUCCUUGAGGCCAGGAAACCACAGAGAAGCUGGCGAUCAACUUACAUUUGAGAAGGUUCAGGAAUGUGUUCUAAAGGAACUUGACUUGAAUUUCAUGUGUGUUUGAUUCUUCCUGCCUGCCUCACGAGGACCACCAUUUGUGAACUAGGAAUGUGGUCUGCUUGUCAAAUGGGCCACUUCAAAGGGAAGAGUGUGGGAAAUUGGAACUAUGACCACAGGCCUCUUGUAUCAUGUACCACACCUAAGCUUCUGGCAUUAAAGGUCUUUGCAAUGGUUUAACGAAGGUACAUGUGAAGACUUAGCACACAAGUAACACUCAAAAGUAGCAUAUACACACUGAAGAUGAAAGAUUAUGUGGUUCUUCUGCAAGGGGCAGAGUCACUCAGGGUCCUUUUGGGCCCUGCAAAAUUAGAGGCCCAGAUUUCCAAAGACCGAAGUAUUUCUGCAAAGGUAAGUGUCUAUUUGAAUUAUAAGAUUUGCCACAAUGGCUCUGUAUAUCUAGAAGCAGGAAGAGCCAUCGGUUUAGUCAAUGGAACUGACUGUCAUAAUUCAGUGAAAGAUUGGAACUUGGUUCUUAAAAUAACAGGUUGGAAUAUGAUGGUAUGUCAAAGAUCCACUUGUGGUUCUGGCCCACUUUCUAUGGCAACUAGACAGCAGACUCGUUUUCUAAAAGGGGUACAGUAACCAGAUACCAGUCCUUUCAGAUUUUUUUGGUUUUUUGGGAGGUUUGGGUUUCACUCAGUGCAGUGUCACUGAAACUCACAUUAAGAGCUAAGGGGAGGGCUGGUGAGAUGUUUCUCAUUUUCUUAGUGGACAGCUUUAUCACUUUUCUUUUUUCUAUUUAGGGAUUAAUUUGAUCAUUUCCUAGUUUCAAGUAGCAUUGAUUACAUGUUCUCCUCCUUAGUGUAAAAGUUGUUCUCUAUCCUUUGGGGCACAUUCUUUUCUGGAAGCUUUGAAACUUUUUACAUUGUUUUACUUCAAAAUUGUUUUCUGGACAAAUCUCAUUUCUUCUUUGAUUCAUGUGUUACUUAGAAGUAUGCUGUUUAACUUCAGCAUAUUGGUGAGGCUAUUCCAGGUAUCUUUCUACAUUCCUCUCUAAGGUUUCUUACAAAUUUAUUCUCACUUCCUGUCAUCCAACAUAUGGUCUACCUUGAAUACGCCAUAUUCAUUGUCUAGAGUGAUCUAGAAAUGCCAACUACAUCAAGUUGGUUGAAUGUUGCUUAUAAUAAGUAUGUAUUUAGUGAUGAGUGUGUGUGUGUGUGUGUGUGUGUGUGUGAGGAUGGUGUUGACACAUUCAACCUUUUAGAUUUCUGGAAGAUGUUUUUAUUCUUUUUAAAUAAGUUCUGAUGUGUAUGCAUGUUUGCUCACAUGUAUACUACAUACAUGUACACUACAUGUAUGUCUGUUGCCAUGAAGGCCAAAACAGGGUGUUGGAAUCCCUGCAAUUGAGUCACAGACUAGUCUUUCGUUGUUGUUUUGUUUUUUGAGACAAGGUAUCACUGUAUAGUCCUGGCCUCCAAUUCACAGAGAUCCUCUGCCUCCCAGUGCACCGCCAUGGCCCUUUAUAAGAGCAGUCAGGAGCUCCUAACUGCUGAGCCAUCUCUCCAGGCUGACAUUACUUCUACUAAGAGUUUAUCUAUAGAGAUAACUUGACAUCUACAUGAUAAGGUCCCACAUCAAUCUACAUGACCUAUACUGUGUUUUAUGCUCCCACAGGACAACACACACCUGGUCACAAGGGGAGUUUGGGACAAAGCUCUACAAGCCUGCAAAUCAGCAUUAACCACCUGUACUGCAGAAGUUUACAUGGGUGCCAUUCUGGAAAACUCACAUUAACUCACAAAAGCAAACAAGUGAGUGCAGACAGGAAUGGGACUAUCGUCCCACUACUGUUAUUUAUUCUCUCCUCUUCUCCUUGGUUGCUGUGCAUGCCCAAAUAAUGUAAUCAUUUUUUAAAGAGAGAGAAACUAUAGGGCAUGUACAAACUCAUGGCUACUGCACCCACCAUGCUGGACGAUGAACGAAUAACUGAGACCAGGAAGGAAAUUUUUUUAAAAAGUCCUAGAGAAAAAUGAAAAUACAACAUUCCAAAAUCCAUGGAAAAAUUAUGAAGGUGGUCUUAAGUGGGCAGUUUACAGCUAUUGGUGCCUCCAGUAAGAAGUUAAAGACAGCAAAUGAAUUUACUUAAUGAUACAACUUAGGGCCUUGGAAAAACAAAAACAAAUCAAAUCCCAAUCCCUCCAUGGGAAAAAAAUAGUGCCAUCAGGGAAGAAAUCAAUGAAAUAGAAACAAUAACAAAAUACUAGGAGUCAAUGAAACAAAAAUUUGGUUAAACAGCUAGAUGUAGUUGUUAAACCCUCAGCUAGACUAAAAGAAGAAAUAGGAAUUAAUUAUUAAGAAAGAAAGAAAGAAAGAAAGAAAGAAAGAAAGAAAGAAAGGAAGGAAGGAAGGAAGGAAGGAAGGAAGGAAGGAAGGAAGGAAGGAAGGAAGGAAGGAAGGAAGAAGACCGUUGGUAGUGGCCCACUCUGGAAGCAGAGGUAGGUAGGUGAUCCUCUGUGAGUUUAAGGCCAGCCUAAUCUACAAAGUGAGUUCCAGGACAGGUACGGUACACACAGAGAAAUUCUGUCUCAACAAAGCAAAAUAAAUUAGAAGAAAGGGGGGCCAUCACAACAGACACUGAUGAAGUGUAUAACAUCAUUAGGUCUUACCUUAAAAAGUAACACCCCACUAAGUUGGAAAAGCUGAAAGAAAUGGGUGAAUUUAUAGAUGCAUAUGGCCUACAAAAAUAACAUGAAGAUGAGCAAUUAUGAUUACAUUAGUAAUUCAAAAUCUAAAAACAAAAAAGCCCAGGUUAUCAGACUUUCCAGUGUUCCUCCAGUGUUCCUAGGCUAGAAAAGGAAGAGACAUUACCAAACUCCCUUACGAUGCUCCUAUUCGCCUGAUACCGAACCAAGAUGAAACAAAACUCUACAUCAAUUUCCCUGAUGAACAUAGACACAAAUAUUAUCAACAAGCUACUUGCAAACAGAAUUCAAAAAUACAUUUAAAAAGAUCAUUCACAACCAUGAAGCUAGUUUUAGUCCAGAGAUAGAGACUGUUUAAUAUACAUAUCAAUAAAUGUUAUUUAUGCCUUUCACGUUAAAGUCUCAAGUGCACUCAGAAUAAAAGGAACCUCAGUAUCGAAAAAGUUACACGACAAACCUGUAUUUUGUUAAUAUAAUCCAAAGGUGUCCAUUUUCUAUACUCUUAUUCAAUCAUACUAGAAGUCUUAAACUAAAGCCACAACCUAAGCAGACAAAUAAAAGAAAACCAGGAAAGAAGUCCAAACACCUCUAUUUGUAGAUGGUAUGAUUCUAUACACAAAAGAAUAUAAAGAAACUACCAAAAAAACUCUUAAAACUGUUGAACACAGGGCUGGUGAGAUGGCUCAGUGGGUAAGAGCACCCGACUGCUCUUCCAAAGGUCAGGAGUUCAAAUCCCAGCAACCACAUGGUGGCUCACAACCAUCCGAUCACGAGAUCUGACUCCCUCUUCUGGAGUGUCUGAAGACAGCUACAGUGUACUUAAAAAAUAAAAAAAAAUAAAAAAAU
ensembl:lincRNA Gm26767 predicted gene, 26767